CUCCGCGCGCUUCCGCUUCCGCCACGGCCGCGGCGGCCUCGGCGUUCCGGGAGCGGCGGCGUCUGCGGGCGGCCCUCCGCACGAUGUCCGGCGGCCUUCUGAAGGCGCUGCGCAGCGACUCCUACGUGGAGCUGAGCCAGUACCGGGACCAGCACUUCCGGGGUGACAAUGAAGAACAGGAAAAAUUACUGAAGAAGAGCUGUACAUUGUAUGUUGGAAAUCUUUCCUUUUACACAACUGAGGAACAAAUCUAUGAACUCUUCAGCAAAAGUGGUGACAUAAAGAAAAUUAUUAUGGGCUUGGAUAAGAUGAAGAAAACAGCAUGUGGGUUCUGCUUUGUGGAAUACUACUCGAGAGCAGAUGCAGAAAAUGCCAUGAGGUACAUAAAUGGAACUCGUCUGGAUGACCGGAUCAUUCGCACAGACUGGGACGCAGGCUUUAAGGAGGGCAGGCAGUAUGGCCGUGGGCGAUCUGGGGGCCAGGUACGAGAUGAGUAUCGGCAGGACUAUGACGCUGGGAGAGGCGGCUAUGGAAAACUGGCCCAAAACCACAACAGAUUAUCUCCUAACUUCCACUAGAAUCUCAGUGUGAACAUCUUUCACGUUACAAUGACAAACAUGGACUUCUAAUGCAGUAGAAAGGCCCUACCUGGAUCUUCAAGAACCCUUCACAGAGAUACACAUCUUCACUGGGACCAGAAGUAAAAUGGCAGUCAAAUACUUGGCCUUGGCCGCCAUCAUGAAUGAUACAGUAACUACUGGGACCAGAAAGUUCAUAACCAAUGGACUACUUCAGCUGAAACAAAAUGGUCACUGAUGUUCUUCAUCCCAGAAAGGCAAGAGUACCUUAGACAGAAAUUUGGUAAACACUAGCCAAAAUGUACAAGACCACAACAGAGGUCAUUUUGCAUUUGAAUUCACAACCCAUUUUGCUGGUGGCAAGACAACUUUUGGUAAGAUUUAUGAUGCCUUAGAUUAUGCAAAGAAAAGUGAACCCAAACAGACUUACAAGAAAUGACCUAUAGGAGAAGGAAAAAAACCACUCAAGCAGACAGCAAAAGGAACACAAGAACAGAAUGAAGAAAGUCAGGGGGACUGCAAAAGCAAAUGCUGGUGCUGGCAAAACGGAGUAAAGAUUCUGCAGUGACUUUAUCUGUGCUGACUGUGCAGAUUUUUCAUGAGAGGAUUAAUAAACUAAGAACUUAAAAACAAAACAAAAAACCCCCACAAAAGGUAAUAAUAUGAAAAACAAAACCUAAAGUGUCAUUUCAGAAGUUAAAUUGUUCAUGUUUGGGAACCCUGGAUGGCUCAGUCGUAGACAGUCUGCCUUCGGCCCAGGGCAUGAUUCUAGAAUCCCGGGAUCGAGUCCCGCAUCAGGUUCCCUGCAUGGAGCCUGCUUCUCCCUCUGCCUGUGUCUCUGCCUCUCUCUCUCUCUCUGUGUCUCUCGUGAAUAAAUAAAAUCUUUAAAAAAUAAAAAUAAAAAAAAUUGUUCAUGUUAAACCAACUGUAUCGGACAGUUUUUUGUUGAGGCAAAUGCCAGAUCACAUCCCACCAUGAAUGUGGAAUGGGAUUCACUGUGUUGUGCAUACAAGAAAUGUCCUAUCAAAAACAAGGAAGGUGGGGGGUGCCUGGCUGGCUCAGUUGGUAGAGCUUGCAACUCUUCAUCUUGAGGUUAUAGGUUCAAGCCCCACAUUGGGUGUAGCAAGAGAUUACUUAAAAACAAAAUCUUAAAGUAAAAUAAAAAAGGCAUGAAAUAUCUAAGACUAAACUUAAGGAACAUGCAAACCUAAAUGAAAAGCACAAAAUUCUAGUAAAGGACAUUGGUCAAAAAUGCAGUAAUUCUUUGUUUUCAGACCAGAAAACUCAGUAUUGUAAUGACUGCAAUUUUCCCUAAAUUAGCCUAUAAAUGUAAUGCAAUACCAAUCAAAAGCCA